rnacentral:rRNA from 1 species
UACGAAGGGGGCUAGCGUUGCUCGGAAUUACUGGGCGUAAAGAGCUCGUAGGCGGUUUGUCGCGUCUGCUGUGAAAACCUAAGGCUCAACCUUGGGCUUGCAGUGGGUACGGGCAGACUAGAGUGCGGGUAGGGGUGACUGGAAUUCCUGGUGUAGCGGUGGAAUGCGCAGAUAUCAGGAGGAACACCGAUGGCGAAGGCAGGUCACUGGGCCGCAACUGACGCGUGAG